UAUAUAUAAUGUAAUUAUUUUUAUAUUAAAAAGUUCAGAAAUUUUUUAAUGAGCAAUCUUGAAAUAUGGACCGUUAUUGAUUAUGGAAAAAAUAAGUGGAAUGCUUAUCAUAUUUAUAUUUCAUGUUUAUAUCCCGUUCAGAAAUUUAGCAUGCAUAUUAAUCAGCACAUUAUAUCGUAUUAUUCAGCACGCACUUUUUAUAUACGUAUUCAUUAAAUGAAUUACAUUAGCAAAUAACAAAGAUAGAAUGCGUAUUAUACAGCCAGGAAGAGUGGUACCAUUUAAUGUGGUGAUGGAAAAUAUGAUAGGACUUACGGCUCAAGCUCAAAAUGAGCUUCGCGUUGCGCGGCGAGAACUGCGAAAAUAUAAAUCCCUGAAGCUUACUUCGGAACAACAGAAGUACCUGGAGAAUUUCGACAAAGCUACCGUGGUAAUUAAUGAAGAAGAAAUGAAGAUCCAAGCUAUAAUAAGACCGCUCUCUCAGGAAGGAUCGUUUAAUGCAAAUAAGAUUGCUGCUUCACAACAUUCCGACACGUAUCUAUCGAUGUAUUUUUGCCCUGAUAGGAGAUUUCGAUACGGUAGAGGAAUCCAUAAUUUUUUGCUAACUAAUUCGUACGUUUCGAGAGAGAAUCUGAACACAAAACCAUUAUCGGAAAAUAAUACUUACCUGAUAUCGCGCGUAACAUCUUGCGAUAUAUUAACCGAAGCGAGAGCCGCGCGAGGUAAAAAAAUUUAAUUUCCAACAUAAAAGUUAUUUUACAAAGAAUUUUCACUGGUCAAAAAUUAAAAUGAAAUGUCAAACUAAUUCUUUUUACGAAACAAUUUUCUUCGGUCAGUUUUAAAAAGAUGUUCAAGUAUAAUUUAUAUUGCAUUUUGAGCUAUAGUAAAUUCUGCAGAGGACGGCAAUCAAACGAGUGCUUGUAUCGAGUACGUGGACGCAUCUCAUCAAGUGAUGCAAGAUGUUUGUGAAGUGGGUGUGCAAACAGACAAGUAUAAAAAUGAUACCUACGAUGAACAAUCUGCCGACUCGUCGUCUAGUCAGUACUGUGAAAGUAGCGAAAGUGCAUCUACGUCUGAAAGCGAGUUAAGGAUGAACUUGGAUUCCGAAGUCUGUGAAAAAAAUCACAAGGGCGUAAUUAUUCAAAAAGAUUCGGAAAUUAUCGUUUUGAAGAACGAACUCGGUGUACGAAAUAAUAAUUGAAUGGAAUUUUUAUCGAAACGAAAUUUGCAUGUAACAAAUAUAUUUACACACAGCGAAUGUUACUUUUUCAUCUUCAUUAUUUAGAUGAAGGAAGAUGAGCUAGAAGAGCUACGAGAAUUGAAUAAGCAUUUACAAACAUUGUUAAAAGGAGAAAAUGAGAAUGCAAAUAUUUUAAGACAUAAUCUUAAUGUAAAUCGGUAUUUAUUAUUAACUGCGUUAAUUAAAAAUUCGUGUAAUUAUUUAAAUUUCAUAUCGUAGAUCUUGCAAGAAAAGCUGAAAAUAGUAAGCGAUACCCGCAAUAUCGAGGUGGAAAAUUUAAAUACAAAACUUUCUUCUUCGGAGUGUCUGGUGGAUCAGUUGAAGACAGAAUUAAGUAGAAAAUGUCAAGUUUGUUAUUUCCAAUCGCAAGAAAUAGAAAAACUUAGGCAGGAGGUUAAAGAUACAGAAUUAAUUUCCGUAGAAAACGAAUCUCUUACGGUUAGUACACGAGAUAUAAUAUAUCACGUAAUAUAAUCGCUUAGAGAAAUUGAAUUUGACUUGAGUUUAAUUAAUUGCAUAUAAUGCGCGUGAUGAAACUGUGAUAAAUUAGCGGAAGGUGAAAGAGAUGGAGCAUUUAUCGAAAGAGGCGGAAAGCUGCGGUAUUGCUUUAGAGCAGGUGAAAAAUGUCUGGCGGGAGCGGGAUAUACUUCAAGAGCAAUAUUGUGAACAAAGUUGCACGUUGGCGGAUAGAGAAGACGAAAUAAAACGACUAUUGAUGUUGAUAAAGCAAAUGUCUGUUACGGCCGACACUCGUGAGGUGCGUCAUUUGGUCUAAUCAUGUCAUAUUCUCACAAUUUUAAUGUCAAUUCAAUUAGUAACA